rnacentral:lncRNA from 1 species
UCACAGCAACAUCGAGACUAGUAUUUGAUCAAAAAACCAGGCACCUUAGCCUAGACAAAUUGAUACAUAAAAUUAACCAUCACAAAGAUGCUAUAUGAUUUUUUGCACAUGACUCAAGAGUUCUAAAACCUGGGAGUUCUCAUUGUGGCUCAGCGGGUUAGGAACCUGACUAGUAUACAUGAGGAUGGGGGUUUGCUCCCUGGCCUCUCUCAUUGUUGUUGCUGCAGUCUACAGUGUUGGUCACAAAAUGCAGCUAGGAUCUGGUGUUGCUGUGGCUGUGGUGUAGGCUGGCAACUACUGCUCUGAUUCAACUCUUAGCCUGGGAACUCCAUAUGCUGCAGAUAUGACCCUAAAAGAUUAAAAAAAAAAAAAAAAGAGUUCUAAAAACUGAAUGACAUUAAUAUAGCAAAACUUGUAUUCCUAAAGUGAGAGCUGAAUUGAUAUUUAACUCUGACUUUUUCUAACAAUAACUAAUAUUCAACCAUGCCUACAUGAGGUAAUUUGUAAAAAAAUUUCCAUCUAUCUCCCUAAAAAUUCAUUUUCUUAAUAAUUACAUGUCAAAAUGUAUAAUAUAUAUUUGUACUGUUUAAUUCAAUUGUGUACUCCUAACAGUAAUAAAAAAACUCAUUUCAAAGAAUCUUCAAUAGUUAGACUCUUAUGGACACAAAUAUUUAACAAAUGAUCUCCAAAUGAGUACACAUAAUUUUACUACAGAGUAAUCUGAUGAUUAAGAAAAGGUUUUUAAGCAUAAAAUUAUAUUAAGUUAGAGUAAAAUUCUUUUCCCUAUUAACAGCUAAUUUUUAUUUUUAUUUUUGUUUUUUAAAUUUAUUUUUUAUUGAUAUUUCCCCCAACAAAUUUUUUUUUCCACUAUACAGCAUGGGGACCCAUUACACAUACAUGAUAAAUAAUUCUUUUUUUUCACAUUAUCAUGCUCCAUCAUAAGUGACUAGAUAUAGUUCCCAGUGUUCUACAGCAGGAUCUCAUUGCUUAUCCAUUCCGAAGGCAAUAGUCUGCAUCUAUUAACCCCAAGUUCCCAAUCCAUCCCACUCCCUCCCCCUCCCCUUUGGCAACCACGAGUCUAUUCUCUUAGCAGAGAUAGUAAAGAAAAAAAUAUUAGAAGACAAGUCUCAUAUGUCUUGAGAACACAAAAGACAUUUCCAUCUAAAAAUAAAUUUGUACUAAACAAAGGAAACUUUUCAAGUUCUCAGCUCUACACAAUAUAUUGCUUAAAUGGGACUGAACCUUAGAUGUCAUCUGAUUCCAUUCCAUUGUUACAACUGAGGAAAUUAGUCCCCAAAAAGGUAAUAAGAGUAUCUCCACCUCCUCCAAUGUCUGAUUACAUCAUGAUGUAGAGAUGUCUUGAGAAGGGAAUUAGGCACAUCAUCUUGUUCUGAGAAAAAUAUGAGGCAAAUAUACAGCCUC